CCUCCAUCUGUUUUCAUCAUAUAGAGGUCUUAUUCUCUCACUCUUUCAUUCCAUUCCAUUGUCCGCUCCUCAGCUUCUCACAUUUCUUCUUCUCCUCCUCUGCUCUCAAAUCUCAAUGAAGCUCUUCUUUUCGGUGAGUUUUUCUGCAAUAUCACUGUUGUUCUUGCACUUUUCUGUUAGUAGUUGGAAUAUGGGUAUUCACUCUUCAAAUGUUAUCCAUUUUGUUCUAUUUAUUUUCUGGUUGGACCACUGUUUUGGGGAUAUUUCUUCGUUUUAUUGCAGCUUCUUUGCUGGCAAUUUAAAUUUGGUGGGUAUAUGAUAGUUUCUAUCUUUUGAAUGAAAUUUCCAGCAAGAAAUUGUUCAUGUGUGUUACUUAUUAUACCUAGUUUCUUUUAACUUAUAUUUUCAUUAAGGAAUUUGGAAAUUUACCUAGGGAACAUGUGUUGGCGGCUCAUUAAAAAAUAUUUUAUUUGAAAGAUAAGGGAUGAACUUCAUACUACCUAGGUAAAAUAUAAGAAGUUUUUGUGGUUAAAAUUAAUUUUACUUAUGGAGUUAAAGAUGGUUAUGAUAUUUUGUUGAUUGUAAUAAUAAAGUUAGUGUAUGAAAAUAUUUUGGUAGAUACUUUCUGGCUUCACAGGAUCAUUGGUACCCCGAGGAAAUGACUGCGGGAAGACAGGCUUAUUUAACUGAUAUUGAGGUAUUCCGUCAAUCUAUUUUUGAGCUUGCGGGAAUAAUGUAUUACUUGCAGGGUGCUAUACGUUUUACGUCUUGAAAUUCAUUUUCAGUUAAUUAAACUGAAAAAAAGGCUGCUUCAACUGAAUGAAUUGCUAAAAUAAGCUUUUAGGUGCAUGUGCAUAUUAAAUUGUUCAGUUGCACAAACUAUUUAGUAAAAACUCUAUAUUGAUCUGCUUCUAAUGACUAAUGAUGAAAGGAAAUUAGACCAUUUUAUGUACUUGGGGCUGAUGUUAGCUACAGAGGAGUUCGACGAACUUGAUAAAUGAAAGGAUGAAUUCUGUAGAGAGCAACCUCAUUCACUUUUUAAUCAAUAGCCAGAUUGAUUCGAUGUAAGAAUAAGUGGUUUGUAAAUGUCAAAUCCUUGAACUGACGGAAUUACAUCAAACAAGUACAAGUUUUUCAUUCAUAAUCUUUGUUCUAUCUCCUUAUCUAUUUGUACUUUUCUGUGUUGUAUAAUCAGUCAUAUCGCUACAAAACUCAGCUAUGAUAAUGACUGAUGUUGAUGCCAAAUAUCUCAAUAUAAAUUUUUUCUUAGUUUGCUUAGGAACUUUGCUCUGCUAUUUUUGCUACUUGUGACAAAUACAGCAGCUGUUGCGUUCUUUGGUGUUCUUCCUUUUACCAUCACUAGAACUACUUUGUAAUUUUUCCUUCAUCUGUGUUUUACAAUUUUCUUGGCCAAAAAAGACUUCAUGCUCAAGGUGUUAUCUUAAAAGGAGUCCUAUGAGAAAACUUAGCAAGUAACGACUUAAAUUUCUGAUUGUGACUUUGUGAGAAACUUCCUUUCAAGGUCGUUUAAUCCGAAAAUGCAGCAAAUGUUAUAUGCCAUUAUUUUCAGUGUGCUUACUCUCUUUUACCAUAUAAUGUGGAUCGGAGGGAGUAUUGAAUUAAUCUCUACAUUAUUUGUCUUUAUACAUUUUGGUAAAAUUAGCCAACUUUGGAGCCACAUUUUCGUAUUCAAUUGGAGAUUUGUUAGAUCUUACUAAUUACUCUUCUGUUUUAACUUAUGUGAAAAUUUCAGUUUUUCGGACGAACACAGCAGUGGAUAAUUGUACUAAAAGUAGCAUGAAUUGUACUAUGAAGUUCGGCCUAUCUCAUUGGUAAUUGGAUACAUGUCCUGCACCUUCUAAUUUAGGAAUCCACGUGUAUCACUUUAGAUUAACUCGGCAAUCUCCAUUUCGUUCACCUUUAUUCUCUUUCUUCUUCAUCGUUCUCUACAAACUCUAUUUUCUUCCUCGAAGUGUCAUCAAGUUUUCGGGUGAGUUUCUCAAUUUUCUUCCUCUCUUCUUCACUCUCUCAGUGUUAAAUUCUGUAUUUUUCUGUCGAUGCUUUGUCUAUUUUGUUAAUUGAUGUUCUUCUGCUGCUAUAUACAAGUUAUGAAAAGGUAGGUUAUAGGGUUCUUCAUCUUUUUUCUUUUUCUCUGUUUUCCUCUAUUCUGAGUUUUUUAAUGUUACUUCUUUGCGUUCACGAAGUGUUGCACAUAUAAAUUUCCUUUAGUUUAUACUUCUAUUUGGAAAUUUGAGAUUUUUACCUAACGUUUGAAAUUGGGGAUUUUUAGAGCGGAAUCCGUCUGUAAGUAAGAGACGGACCAAACAAUUGAAAGCUCCACAUGCGCAUAGGGCUUUUUUGGGAGUUCAAGUCAAACAAAAGGGAAAAGACGACAAAGGAACGGAUGCAUGUGAUCUAUGAGUAGCUCAUAUUGAGAGGGCAGGGAGAAAGCAAAAGACUGGACAAGCAGAUGGAAAAAAUCGGCGUGUUUUAGCAAAGAAAGUCAAAUAUGGAAGUCAAAACUCUUCAGGAGAAAAAACUCACUUCCGUCCUCAUUGCACAAGUGAAGUAAUGGUUGUAAAGCUGUAACUUUGGGUUGACGCAACGCUAAUGAGUUGCCCAACAAUUAUUUAUGCUCAAAAGCUAUAAAAAAAGUAUACUUUGUGGAGUCACAACUUUAAACUGUUGGCAUUAAUUGAGUUGAAUAUGCAAUACCAACUUACAAGACAAGGCAUCCAUAUAACAAGUGCUUUUGAACAACUGUAGAGUACAAUGGAAUGCAGAUGGUGGAAAAACAUUGCAUCAAGUAACAGGUCGAAAGAAGAUGCUGUCAAUGAGGGUAUCAACUGGUGGUCGGCCAUACUUAUGUCCUUUUUUCCAUAUACACGUAUUGUAGAGAAGAGGAAUAUUAUGUAUCCAUAUAGUAUAAAAACCUUCCAAUUUUGGUGAUC